AGCUUUGCGCAGUGGCAGUAUCGUAGCAAAUGAGGUUUAUCCGAGGAGCGAUUAUUGCUAAUUGAAACAGAGCUAACCUCAGCAAUGUUUUUUGUGCUUUGCUUUUGGCUUUGGUUUUUGCUU
rnacentral:snRNA from 1 species